CUCUUACAACACUGUGACAUUCCAACAUGCUCCCACAUUGAAAACCAUCAUUGUAAACCUGCAUGCCAUUUGAUGGGGUCCCUCGUCCAAAUUGGCUUGGUUGGCAUUUCCUUACAAGUGCAACCUUCUAUCCAGUUGCCGUAGCAAGAGGUCUCCUUGGUUAGGUGACCUUCUAGGUUUCCGUUAAAGACCUUAGAGCAUAAGCAACUCUCGUAUCUGCAUGUGUAUCAGACAAUGGAUGGGGACUAUUCAGGACCCAGCAUGCCCCAAGUUCAUGAUAGAGGACACCUCACUAAAACCUUACGCCAGCUGUCCCUAUAAAGUGAGGGGGUCCACAUUUUACAGAUGAGGACUUUGAAGUUUUCAGAGGUGGAGUACCUCGCCAAAAGACAUGCACUUGGAGUAGAAGUUGUCAAUAUUCAACCCUGCCUUUGCAUGAAGGUGCAUUCCAUGAUGCCACAAGCUGCCCUUUAUGUAGUAGGUAACUCACCAGGGAAACACAGUCAAAAAGAGAUACAGAUGAUGCAGACCUGGGUACACACAGAUCCAUAUAACAAGAGCGACUGUAAGGAAGAGGUUCAUGUGACCGUGAGGGCUGGCAAGUCCAAACACCACAGCAGCCGGGCAGGCUGGGAGGAGCUGCAGCCCGGCUCUGAGACAGCCAGCCGGCAGGAUUUCUCUCCUGCUCUGGGGAGGUCGAUCUUUCUCUGCUACGACCUUCAAUGGCUUGGAUCAAGCCUGCCCACAUCACAGGGUAUAAUUCACGUCGCUUAGGAUCCACUGAUUUAAAUGUUUCUCUCGUCUAAAAAGUCUUCAUAGAAACAUCUAGAAUAUAUGGGUACUAUGGUCUAGCCAAGUUGAUACAUAAAAUUAAGCAUCAUGGGGAACAAAUGACAUGGCAAAAUAUAUUAGGAAAGUGUUUAAUUCCAUUGAAAUUAUUUUAUUUUUUUCAUUUAAAAAUGUUUCUUAGUGCUUUGAUUACAAAAAUAAUACAUGCUAUAGACCUAAUUUUAUGACAGAUUCAAACACAGAAUUAUGGAAAGUAAAAAGUGAAAAUCUGACCCCUUUACACACAAUCAGUGUGUUAUGUCAGCAAUAUGCAGUAUGCAGACCCUUGUUAACAUGUUCACAGUACUCCCCUGCAUCCAUAAUGUACUCAGUCGCUUCCUUACUGAUGGACGGUCAAGUAGAGCUGCAGAUUAAAUAGUUGUUAGGACAUAGAAUUCUGUACGUGCACUGGUACUUCUGUAGUCCGGUGCCCGAGAUUAGAUUGAUAGAUCCCAGGGUAGGCACGUUCAAAAUUUGAAAGAUACCAUCAAAUACUCCUCCAAAAGGAUUGUAUCAACUUAUAAUCUCGUAACAUUAGAUGUGUGCCCCCUACUGGGUAAUAUUUUUAUGUUCACAUCAGAGAUUAAAACAACAACCAAAUCUCAUUUGCUUCUCUGAAGAAUUCUUCGCGCUUCCCACGCCCCACAUCCCAGUCAAUGUUUUCUGUCCUUACAGUUUGCAUUGUCUGCAGUUUAUGGAAUACAAGUGUCAGUCUCUACUCCUCUGCCCAGCUUCUUUUAGUCAGCGUACUUACUUUGAGAUCCACCCACAUUCUUAAGUGUUCUUAACACAAUAAAUUAAAUUAGGGAAAAAAGAAAAUAUUUGGAUGACAAAUAAGUAUAUAAAAAGAUAUUCAACACUGGGUCACCUGAGCAGAGGCUUUAACCCACUGAGCCACCCAGACGCCCCUACUCCUAAAUAUUUACCCCCCAAAACAUAUAUCCAUACCAAGACUUGCCUCAGAUGUUCAGAGUGGUUUUGCGUGUAACAGCCCCCAACUGAAAACAAUCCAAACGCCUCCCAGCAGGUGAAAUAACAGCGAUCCAGUCCUAUAAUCGAGGAGUGUUCAGUAAUAAAAGGGAUGAGUUAUUGAUACAAAAACCCACACGAAUCUCAAGAUGAAUUGAGUUUUAAUUUGUGGGUAAAAGAAUGAAGGGUCAUCACUAAUUGGUAAAAAUGUGUUGUGGGUGAUCUUUAGGGACUAAAAGCAAUCAGGAAAGACCUAUGCAGCAAAAGGAAGAAAAGAAGCAAAAAAAAAAAA